rnacentral:rRNA from 1 species
GAUAUGGCUCAGAUUGAACGCUGGCGGCAGGCCUAACACAUGCAAGUCGAACGGUAACAGGAAGAAGCUUGCUUCUUUGCUGACGAGUGGCGGACGGGUGAGUAAUGUCUGGGAAACUGCCUGAUGGAGGGGGAUAACUACUGGAAACGGUAGCUAAUACCGCAUAACGUCGCAAGACCAAAGAGGGGGGACCUUCGGGCCUCUUGCCAUCGGAUGUGCCCAGAUGGGAUUAGCUAGUAGGUGGGGUAACGG